CAGGCGAUGAUUCAUGAAGAAGAAAAAUAUGUGAGCCUGUCUGAAAACCUGGAAGAAAUCAAAAUAGUACUGUUCUGUAUUUAAAGCAGUUACUGUGAGAUCUUAGAAGGUAUGCGUUGGACUGAUUUUUGGUGAGACAAACUUGGCCGGAUAAUAAAGACGCACGACUGAAAUCCGCGUCAGGUUCUGCCUGGAACGUUCUGGAUGGUGCUGCAAGACACCUCCCAGGCGGGCCCAGCACCCCCAGCAGCGCUCUGGCAGUGAGGCUGCCGCCGCUCCCGCUGCCGUGCCGGGGCGUCACCGGGCAGCCUCACAGAGCCCCGCAGGCCUGCACGGACCCGCAGCUCCGGUGCCAACACGCCACUGACUGCGGC
ensembl:lncRNA